rnacentral:rRNA from 1 species
AUGGUUGCUGCAACAAAACGUUAUGACCCAGGUGGUCACCGGUUCCAGCAAAACUGGAUCGUGCUUGCAGCUAAAAUGAUUGUUGAUUUCAGCAAAAAAAUAAACGCAACAAAAAAUCAUGGCGGCGAUCGCCGUCGCCGCUUAGCACUAUCCUCUCCUAUUUUGCAGCAAAAACAAAAGUUGGUUCCAGCAAAACUGAUAGCUGGUUCCAGCAAAAAAAAAUGCAACAAAAACAUGCAUCCACCGUCGUUGUCGUUGAGCACUAUCCUUGCAGCAAAAAACAAAGCUGGUUCUAGCAAAAUCAAAAGCGGGUUCCAGCAAAAAAAAAGGUAG